rnacentral:rRNA from 1 species
CAUUCAAAUAUCUGCCCUAUCAACUUUCGAUGGUAGGAUAGUGGCCUACCAUGGUUACAACGGGUACGGGAAAUAAGGGUUCGAUUCCGGAGAGGGAGCCUGAGAAACGGUACCACAUCCAAGGAAGGCAGCAGGCGCGCAAAUUACCCAAUCCCGAACGGGGAGGUAGUGACAAUAAAUAACAAUAUAGGGCUCUUUAGGGUCUAAUAAUUGGAAUGAGUACAAUUUAAAUACCCUUAACGAGGAACAAUUGGAGGGCAAGUCUGGUGCAGUAGCCGCGGAAAUUCCAGCUCCAAAUAGCGUAUAUAGAGUUGUAGCAGGUUAAAAAGGCUCGAAGUUGAACUUCAGAUUUGGUCGGAAUGGUCCGCUUAACGGGGUAGUAACUGCUUGGUAGGGGUCAUGGUCUACUUGGUGAAACCAUUGUGCCCUUGAUUGGUGUGCUUUGGGGGAACAAGGAUUUAA